rnacentral:rRNA from 1 species
UACGAAGGGUGCAAGCGUUACUCGGAAUUACUGGGCGUAAAGCGUGCGUAGGUGGUUUGUUAAGUCUGAUGUGAAAGCCCUGGUCUCAACCUGGGAAUGGCAUUGGAUACUGGCAGGCUAGAGUGUGGCAGAGGGUAGUGGAAUUCCUGGUGUAGCAGUGAAAUGCGUAGAGAUCAGGAGGAACAUCCGUGGCGAAGGCGACUGCCUGGGCCAACACUGACACUGAGGCACGAAAGCGUGGGGAGCAAACAGGAUUAGAUACCCUGGUAGUCCACGCCCUAAACGAUGCGAACUGGAUGUUGGGUGCAAUUUGGCACGCAGUAUCGAAGCUAACGCGUUAAGUAGACCGCCUGGGGAGUACGGUCGCAAGAUUAAA